CUGCGUGGAAGGGCCAUCGCUCAACGGAUAAAAGCUACCCUGGGGAUAACAGGCUUAUCUCCCCCAAGAGUCCACAUCGACGGGGAGGUUUGGCACCUCGAUGUCGGCUCAUCACAUCCUGGGGCUGUAGUAGGUCCCAAGGGUUGGGCUGUUCGCCCAUUAAAGUGGUACGCGAGCUGGGUUCAGAACGUCGUGAGACAGUUCGGUCCCUAUCCGUCGCAGGCGUAGGAAAUUUGAGAAGACCUGUCCUUAGUACGAGCGGACCGGGAUGGACGUACCUCUGGUGUACCAGUUGUUCUGCCAAGGGCAUGGCUGGGUAGCUAUGUACGGAAUGGAUAAGCGCUGAAAGCAUCUAAGCGCGAAGCCAACUUCAAGAUAAGAUUUCCCACCGCAAGGGUAAGACCCCAGAAAGACUAUCUGGUUGAUAGGUCGAAGGUGUAAGUGCAGCAAUGUA
rnacentral:rRNA from 1 species